rnacentral:rRNA from 1 species
GACGAACGCUGGCGGCGUGCUUAACACAUGCAAGUCGAGCGGUAAGGCCCUUUCGGGGGUACACGAGCGGCGAACGGGUGAGUAACACGUGGGUGACCUGCCCUCAGCUCUGGGAUAAGCCUGGGAAACCGGGUCUAAUACUGGAUAUGACUCCAUGACGCAUGUUGUGGGGUGGAAAGCCUUGUGCGGCUGAGGAUGGGCCCGCGGCCUAUCAGCUUGGUUGGUGGGGGAUGGCCUACCAAGGCGACGACGGGUAGCCGGCCUGAGAGGGCGACCGGCCACACUGGGACUGAGACACGGCCCAGACUCCUACGGGAGGCAGCAGUGGGGAAUCUUGCGCAAUGGGCGAAAGCCUGACGCAGCGACGCCGCGUGAGGGAUGACGGCC